rnacentral:rRNA from 1 species
UACGUAGGGAGCGAGCGUUAUCCGGAAUUAUUGGGUUUAAAGGGUGCGCAGGCGGUUUGAUAAGUUAGAGGUGAAAUGUCGGGGCUCAACCCCGAAACUGCCUCUAAUACUGUUGGACUAGAGAAUAGUUGCGGUAGGCGGAAUGUAUGGUGUAGCGGUGAAAUGCUUAGAGAUCAUACAGAACACCGAUUGCGAAGGCAGCUUACCAAACUAUAUCUGACGUUGAGGCACGAAAGCGUGGGUAGCAAACAGG